AAGUGAGAGAUAAAGAAAGAGAGAGAGAGAAAGAGAGAGAGAGAGAAAGAUAAUUCGCGUUGGCGCAAGCGUUGGAGUGGUAGCGUGGAAAAGGUGGAUAGAUAGAGACAGACUAUGCGACGUGUGAGUGAGUGUUAGAACGAGUACAAAAGAAAGAGAGAGAGAGAGAAAGAGGUAGGUGGAUAGAUAGAUAGAUAGAGAGGGUGGGAUGCGAAAAGGAGCCGCACAAACACGAAGAAAAGGACGCAGGCGCCCAGGACGAGCGGGGCGACGCUCGACGACGACGCUGCAUUGGCAGUUGCACUCCAGCCACACCCGGUACGAGCCAUGUAGUCGGGCUACCCUCCACCGCGAUACACGGCGGACAAUUGUUGCUUCUGCGCCCACAGUAAUCAACGACUAACUAGGAAGAACCAAAGAAGAUUUCAAGCUUCCAAGCGAAGCAGUUCCUACUCUUCUAUUAGAACUACGUCCUAAAAACAAGUAAUAAAAGAAACAAAUCAAGAACUAAUUCUAUGGCAAUGAACACGAAGGAAGAAAAUACUCGCAGCUGGUGAAGAAGAAAAAGAAGAAGAAGAAGAAGUAGAAGAAGGACGAAAAGAAGUAGAAGAAGAAGAAGACUCUUUGCUAGAGGGAACUAUCGACCAUACACGUAAGGCGGUACCGUACACACACCGAUAGACAAACACGGCGGACCUGUUGUCCAACUUGUUGCUCGUCCCUGCAAAAGGCACACCCACCCUCUUCGACGCUUGGCGACGUUUUUCGAAAAAAAAAUAGAAA
rnacentral:lncRNA from 1 species